rnacentral:rRNA from 1 species
UACGUAGGUGGCAAGCGUUUGUCCGGAUUUACUGGGCGUAAAGAGCGCGCAGGCGGUCGGAUAAGUCGAAUGUGAAAGCCCCCGGCUCAACUGGGGAGGGUCAUUCGAUACUGUUCGACUCGAAGGCAGGAGAGGGAAGUGGAAUUCCCGGUGUAGUGGUGAAAUGCGAUAGAUAUCGGGAGGAACACCAGUGGCGAAGGCGACUUCCUGGCCUGUUCUUGACGCUGAGGCGCGAAAGCUAGGGGAGCAAACGGG